rnacentral:rRNA from 1 species
AGUGAACGCUGGCGGUAGGCCUAACACAUGCAAGUCGAACGGCAGCACAGUAAGAGCUUGCCCUUACGGGUGGCGAGUGGCGGACGGGUGAGGAAUACAUCGGAAUCUACUUUUUCGUGGGGGAUAACGCAGGGAAACUUACGCUAAUACCGCAUACGACCUACGGGUGAAAGCAGGGGAUCUUCGGACCUUGCGCGAUUGAAUGAGCCGAUGUCGGAUUAGCUAGUUGGCGGGGUAAAGGCCCACCAAGGCGACGAUCCGUAGCUGGUCUGAGAGGAUGAUCAGCCACACUGGAACUGAGACACGGUCCAGACUCCUACGGGAGGCAGCAGUGGGGAAUAUUGGACAAUGGGCGCAAGCCUGAUCCAGCCAUACCGCGUGGGUGAAGAAGGCCUUCGGGUUGUAAAGCCCUUUUGUUGGGAAAGAAAAGCAGCAGGUUAAUACCCCGCUGUUCUGACGGUACCCAAAGAAUAAGCACCGGCUAACUUCGUG